rnacentral:lncRNA from 1 species
AAAUCUGCUUCUCUUUCACCUCAGAACCUAGAGAUGACUUUACCACUUCUUGAACAAUCACACCACCAUCCUUGGAGUCCAAGAGACGAACCCUAAGAUUAUCCAAACAGUGAAUAUCUUUCACCAAUUCUCGCUUCUCCCCAUCAACAUGAGACAAACUUCCCAUGGACAACCUUCUAAGAGUAUUAGUAACCACAUUAACUUUACCUGGAUAAUAAUGGAG